UAUGGUUGAGAGCUGCCUCAGCAUAUCACUGAUGAAUUUUACUGGCUCUUUGUCACCCCACACAACCUUGAUGGUGAAUAAGCCGCCACCAUAGAGUUCCUCUGUAUGGGUAUAUAGCGCUUACAACUUCAACACGCAGUAAUCUUGAAGAUUGGCGGAUCGAGGGCCUACAAGGAACAAAUGAAACAUACAUUGCUUGGCGCUUUGUGUCCUUUCCAAUGGUUGCAACGGACAAUACAGAAAAUACUUACCAAAGACAACACUUGUCAUCUUGGAGAUGUGUCGUCGCAGACAAGUCAAUUUUUCCGUAACCAGUUUCAAUUGACCCUCAACAUUUUCAGCACGUUUCAACAGAGCGACUUUGUCAGCUUUAGCCGAAUCUCUGUAUAAUAUGUGCUCAGCCUUGGCUUUUUCAUGUUCUGCCAGAGAGACUCGAAGUUUUUCCUCAGCAGCAGCCUUGGCGUCUUGUUGACUUCCCAAGCUUUUCUUCCUACCACUUAAGGAUGAGUCAUCCUGGCUU
rnacentral:lncRNA from 1 species